rnacentral:tRNA from 1 species
GGCCUCUUGCUCUUUCCAUCGGGGUGCUUGGCUGCUAACCAAAAGGUUGGUGGUUCAAAUCCAUCAGUGGCUC